CCAAUAGCGUAUAUUAAAGUUGUUGCAGUUAAAAAGCUCGUAGUUGAAUUUCGGGACCAAUUUGUUGGUCGUGCCUCGGUACGUACUGGUAUUAUUGGUUUCUCCCUUCUGAAGAACCUUGAUGUCAUUAAUUUGGUGUCUUGGGGAAUCAGGACUGUUACUUUGAAAAAAUUAGAGUGUUUAAAGCAGGCAUACGCUUGAAUACAUUAGCAUGGAAUAAUGAAAUAGGACGUUUGAUUCUAUUUUGUUGGUUUCUAGGAUCGACGUAAUGAUUAAUAGGGAUAGUUGGGGGCAUUAGUAUUCAAUUGUCAGAGGUGAAAUUCUUGGAUUUAUUGAAGACUAACUACUGCGAAAGCAUUUGCCAAGGAUGUUUUCAUUAAUCAAGAACGAAAGUUAGGGGAUCGAAGACGAUCAGAUACCGUCGUAGUCUUAACCAUAAACUAUGCCGACUAGGGAUCGGAUGAUGUUAAUUUUUUAAUGACUCAUUCGGCGCCUUACG
rnacentral:rRNA from 1 species